rnacentral:rRNA from 1 species
AUUGAACGCUGGCGGCAGGCCUAACACAUGCGAGUCGAGCGGAGCGGCGGACGGGUGAGUAAUGCCUAGGAAUCUGCCUGGUAGUGGGGAUAACCUCCGGGAACGGGCGCUAAUACCCCCUACUAUCAGAUUAGCCUAGGUCGGAUUAGCUAGUUGGUGGGGUAAAGGCCUACCAAGGCGACGAUCCGUAACUGGUCUGAGAGGAUGAUCAGUCACACUGGAACUGAGACACGGUCCAGACUCCUACGGGAGGCAGCAGUGGGGAAUAUUGGACAAUGGGCGAAAGCCUGAUCCAGCCAUGCCGCGUGUGUGAAGAAGGUCUUCGGAUUGUAAAGCACUUUAAGUUGGGAGGCGUUACCAACAGAAUAAGCACCGGCUAACUUCGUGCCAGCAGCCGCGGUAAUAC